rnacentral:lncRNA from 1 species
UCCUGCAUUGGUAAAUCUAAACCCACCAAAACCCUUCGAUAACAUUGCUAUAUCCUAUAUAGGAUAAUAAAGUGAAUAUAACAUGAAUAAUACCUAAUUGCUUGUGAUGGUGUGUAUUAAAUCCAUGAUCACAAGCAGGAAAUUUCUAAUUCAAACUUCCUACGGUUAUAUCUCAAGGAGGUUUGUUUAUACAUCAUGUUAAAAU